rnacentral:rRNA from 1 species
GACGAACGCUGGCGGCGUGCUUAACACAUGCAAGUCGAACGGAAAGGCCCUGCUUUUGUGGGGUGCUCGAGUGGCGAACGGGUGAGUAACACGUGAGUAACCUGCCCUUGACUUUGGGAUAACUUCAGGAAACUGGGGCUAAUACCGGAUAGGAGCUCCUGCUGCAUGGUGGGGGUUGGAAAGUUUCGGCGGUUGGGGAUGGACUCGCGGCUUAUCAGCUUGUUGGUGGGGUAGUGGCUUACCAAGGCUUUGACGGGUAGCCGGCCUGAGAGGGUGACCGGCCACAUUGGGACUGAGAUACGGGCCAGACUCCUACGGGAGGCAGCAGUGGGGAAUAUUGCACAAUGGGCGGAAGCCUGAUGCAGCAACGCCGCGUGCGGGAUGACGGCCUUCGGGUUGUAAACCGCCUUCGCCUGUGACGAAGCGUGAGUGACGGUAAUGGGUAAAGAAGCACCGGCUAACUACGUG